AUUGAACGCUGGCGGCAUGCUUUACACAUGCAAGUCGAACGGCAGCGCGGGCUUCGGCCUGGCGGCGAGUGGCGAACGGGUGAGUAAUACAUCGGAACGUGCCCAGUAGUGGGGGAUAGCUCGGCGAAAGCCGGAUUAAUACCGCAUACGACCUGAGGGUGAAAGCGGGGGAUCUUCGGACCUCGCGCUAUUGGAGCGGCCGACGGCAGAUUAGCUAGUUGGUGGGGUAAAGGCCUACCAAGGCGACGAUCUGUAGCUGGUCUGAGAGGACGACCAGCCACACUGGGACUGAGACACGGCCCAGACUCCUACGGGAGGCAGCAGUGGGGAAUUUUGGACAAUGGGCGAAAGCCUGAUCCAGCAAUGCCGCGUGUGUGAUGAAGGCCUUCGGGUUGUAAAGCACUUUUGGCGGGAACGAAAAGGACUGUGCCAAUACCACGGUUCGAUGACGGUACCUGCAGAAUAAGCACCGGCUAACUACGUG
rnacentral:rRNA from 1 species